rnacentral:tRNA from 1 species
GGGUGUAGCUCAGUGGUAGAGCACUCUCCUAGCAUGUAUAAGGCCCUGGGUUUGAUCCCUAGCACCCA